GCAGUGGUGGCUCAGUGGUUAACGUUCUGGGUUACUGCCCCGAAGAUUCGGGGUUCAAGCCCUAUCACUGCU